UACAGAGGGUGCAAGCGUUGUUCGGAAUUAUUGGGCGUAAAGGGCGUGUAGGCGGCUCGAUAAGUCUGCUGUGAAAGUCCAGGGCUCAACCCUGGAAUGCCGGUGGAAACUGUCGAGCUAGAGUACGGAAGAGGUGAGUGGAAUUCCUGGUGUAGCGGUGAAAUGCGCAGAUAUUGGGAGGGACACCAGUGGCGAAGGCGGCUCACUGGACCGGAACUGACGCUGAGGCGCGAAAGCGUGGGGAGCAAACGGG
rnacentral:rRNA from 1 species